rnacentral:misc_RNA from 1 species
AAGUCGUAACAAGGUUUCCGUAGGUGAACCUGCGGAAGGAUCAUUAACACGUAUCCAACGUUAAACCCCCCGUGAACCUUCAUUGUGCUCCCCCAUUCCGUUAGGACGCGGCAAUCCCUGGUAAAUCAUCGCCGAACAGUUUUGAUUCAGGGACCUCUGCAUGGAGUGGGCAGCAGCGCGAGGCAAGUGGCCUGGCAUUCGAAAGAAUGGCGCAGUAACGAUCGCUAGAGGCCGACAUGCAUGAAAACGGGCCUGCGCUUAAUUGUGCGGCCACCAAACUCGAACAACUGUUAACAAUGGAUAUCUUGGUUCUC